UACGUAGGGUGCAAGCGUUAAUCGGAAUUACUGGGCGUAAAGCGUGCGCAGGCGGUUUUGUAAGUCUGUCGUGAAAUCCCCGGGCUCAACCUGGGAAUUGCGAUGGAGACUGCAAGGCUAGAAUCUGGCAGAGGGUGGUGGAAUUUCCGGUGUAGCGGUGAAAUGCGUAGAGAUCGGAAGGAACAUCAGUGGCGAAGGCGACCACCUGGACUGAGACUGG
rnacentral:rRNA from 1 species